UUACACGUAGAAACUUUGUUCAGGAAAAUUUCUCAGUAGCUCAGAGGACAGGCUGCUUUUUACACAACCUUGUAAGAGAAUGUCUGUCAAUGCUUUCAGCAGAAUUUAGAAACACAACACUUCCUAAACAGAUAUUUUGAGGCUGUGAGGUUGAACGUUUGAGAGUAUAUCAGUGUGUUUAUUUGUGGUCUUUUUGUUUCUAGGUGGAAGCUGAAUUAGUGAGGAUGACUCCUGCUCCUGUCAUCUCAAAACUCCUCCCACAUCUUUACCUGCACAUGAGGAAAAUCACUCCUGUAGAAUGCAGAUGUUCAGAGGGAGAUGAUGCCACAUCUGGUCCAGCUGAUGGAAGGUCUUGAAGUUCUCUGACUGGCCUCGACUGAAGAUGGUCGUCUCACUGGAUUUAAGAGAUGCACAAUGAGGGACGUCUGCAGAGACUGAGAAAGAGUCUCACCACAUCCUGACAUGAGGAAAAAGACUUUAUUGAAGACUGCAAUGAGAAAAACUAUCAGACAGCAGACGGCUGCAUUCAAGGUGAGCUCUGAACAUUUGAUCUGGAACAGGAAUUCAAUAACGGCAGCAUGAGCUUCAUUUCAGUCUGUAGCUGCUGAAUUCAUGGAUGAAUCAUCUGGCACUAGAGAAGAACACCAUCAAACAUCCACGUCAGCUGAUGGAGGUCCAAGAGUCUCACCCAACAAACAACCUACAGAGUGAAGACCUCAGCUCUGAUUGGACGGCCUCCUAUUCAGCCACAUUUUAGGCUGUUAGAUUGUUCCAGAUAAGACGAGUACAAGAUUCUUCAGAGCCGUUCUACCACGAGCCUGACAGGAAGAACUCCAACAGCUACUGAAUGUUCCUGUGGUCCCCUCAAGGCUACAGGAGGAGCCCUACAAGGACGAGCCGGUCCACCUGAUGGCGGCCAGUCGCUGCGGUUCAAAGCCAACACCGACUACGUGGACUUCUACUGGACCACACGGAGGCCUUCAAACCGGACCAACAAGUUCAGCGACUCCCCGACUCGUGGGUCUGAGGACGCUGCCGAGCCUCGGUCCAACCGGCCUCCUGUCUGUGGGUGUUUGAGUGCUGAGAGGUUUGUGGAUGUAAGUGAACGUGUCUGUGUUGAAACAGCAGCUUUUGACUCACUAACGCCGGGAAAAACCAAGAGCUCCUUUAUUUGUGACUUCCACUAAAAAAAAAUGAAAAUAAGUUUGCCAGGGUUCUGACUGAUAACAGAUUAUUAAAUGAUGAAAAUAAUCGUUUAAAUAUUCCUUUAAACAAUCCUUUUAGGUCUACAUUUCCUUUACACUGACUUCUUGGUAUAUGUACAAGUAUUUUGGGUGGAAUAUACCAUUAAGCCCAAUGUUCAAGGGUGCUUCUGGGAAUAUACCAUUAAACCAACCUUUGAGGUAAAUGUUCCAGGAUGUUGGGUAGAAUAUACCAUCAGAUCAACCUUUUAGGUCUACACUGGAAGAUUUUAGAGUAGAAUAUUACUCCAAACCAUCCUUUAGGUCUACAUUUAAGGUGGAAUACUCCUUUACUCCAAGACUUUUUGGUCUACAUUGAAGGAUUUUAGGUGGAAUAUUCCUUUGAAUGAACUUUUUAAGUUUAUGUUGAAGGAUGUUGGGUGGAAUAUACCAUCAGACCAACCUCCAAGGUCUACAGUAGUGAAUUUUAGGUGGAAUAUACCAUUAAACUCACCUUUUAGGUGUACAUUGGAGGAUUUUAGGUGGAAUUUUCUUCCAAACUGUCUUUUAGUCUACAUUUAAGGAUGUUUAGGAUGGUAUAUUCUUCCAAACCAACUUCUCAGGUCUACAUUUCAGGUGGAAUAUUCCUCCAUACUAACUUUUUUGGUCUACAUUGAAGGAUUUUUUCUAAACCACCCUUUCGGGUCUAUAUUUGGGGUUUUAGGUGGAAUAUUCCUUUUAACCAGCCCCUCAGGUCUCUUUGAGGAUUUUGGAUGGAAUACUCAGUUAAACCAACAUUUUAGGUGCAUGUACAAGGAUUUUUGGUGGAAUGUUCCUUUAAGGUGGAUGUUUGAGGACCUUGUAGGUGGAAUACUUCCUGAAACCAACCUUUUAGGUCAACAUUCAAAGAUUUAAGGUGUAAUAUUCCUUUAAACCAACCUAAAUUUCAUGUUUUGAUCAUUAUCAAGUGAGAAACCUCAAUCCAGACUCCUCAUAAUGACGUUUGAGAUUUAUGCUGCUGUUAUUUGUUUAGUCCAGAUGAAAUGACAGAAAUCCACAACUGUAAUUUUAUUUCAGGACUUGGUUAUUAAAUGUCAGAACAAUCCAUGUGACUCUAAAAACUCAACAGCUUUAGAAACUCUAAGAUUAAACUCUCCACAAGGAUCCAAAAUAAGUUGGACUUCUACAUGAGAGCUUUAAUUAUUCUUCAUCUACUUCCUGAAAAGUUUGGUCAAUAAAAAAAGACAAAAACUAAUAUUUUCAGCUGAACUAAAGACAGACUGUGAUUUUUCUGCUCACGUGUUGUGUUGUUGUAAACAUACUCUUUCAAAUAAAUACCUGCCUAACCCCCUGGAAACCAGCGUUUGUCCUGUUUUUGUGUUGCUCCUCGGCGACCCUAGACAGCUGGGUCCUAAUGUUUUUUGAGCAACACACCAUACUAUGACGUUUUUACAAUGAUGGUUCUACUAUGGAACCAGUUUGACAUGUUCAGGCAUUCUUUGUGUGAAAACUCAGAGAUUUCAGGUAUCAGAAGGUGGUUUUCAACUUUCUUUGUUAACUUUCUGCUUCAACUUUAAACUAAAUUUACUUGACUAAGCCAGCCCUCUGGACUUCCAGUAAGCUGUGUUCCUAUUGGUUGUCCAGGUGGCUGCUUGGUGUUAUCAGGAACACCUGAGCAGCUCAGUGUUUUC